CUAUACAGUCAGCUGUUUCAUUUGGCAUGGCGUCGACGAGAAAGAUAGAUGUAAUGGAGGUCUCUCAUGAAAAUUUCUAUUUAGAUUUGCUGUAAUUUCAGUUGCAAUUGCAGGCCUCAAGGAUGUACCGAAUAUGCUGCAUUGGCCAUGGGAGCCUUUAUGACAAAAGGAAUGUCAUGCAUGUCAUGAAGGAUUAAUUACCUACAUAAAUCAAAACAUAGGGAAGUUAAAUUUGAAAUUGGUUGAUUUCCUUCAUAGUGCUAAUAGAUGACAAGAUCUUGUACCAAUGAAGAUUGUUUUUCUUUCUUUCUUUACUUAGUAAU